rnacentral:tRNA from 1 species
GCCGGCGUAGCUCAAUUGGAAGAGCAUCGCACUUGUAAUGCGAAGGUUGGGGGUUCGAUUCCCUCCGCCGGCU